UUCCGGUUGAUCCUGCCGGAGGCGACCGCUUUUGGAGUUCGAUUAAGCCAUGCGAGUAGAAAGAAAUUAGAUUCUUUGCGAACUGCUCAGUAACACGUGGAUAACCUGCCCUAUGCUCCGGAAUAACCUCGGGAAACUGAGAAUAAUACCGGAUAGAUCACAACGCCUGGAACGGUGUGUGGUUGAAAGAUUACGGCAUAGGAUGGGUCUGCGGCGUAUCAGGUUGUAGGGGGUGUAAAGGACCUCCUAGCCAUCGACGCGUACGGGUGUUGGGAGACAUAGCCCGGAGAUGGAUUCUGAGACACGAAUCCAGACCCUACGGGGUGCCGCAGGCGCGAAAACUUCACACUGCAGGAAACUGUGAUGAGGGAACUCCAAGUGCACGCACUUAGUGUGUGCUUUUUUCAACUAUUAAUCGGUUGAAGAAUAAGGGCUGGGAAAGACCGGUGCCAGCCGCCGCGGUAAUACCGGCAGCUCAAGUGGUCGUCGCUUUUAUUGGGCCUAAAACGUCCGUAGCCUGUUUGGUAAAUCUGUGGGUAAAUCAACCAGCUUAACUGGUUGAAUUCUGCAGAGACUGCCAGACUAGGGACCGGGAGAGGUGUGGGGUACUCUAGGGGUAGGGGUAAAAUCCUGUCAUCCUUAGAGGACCACCAGUUGCGAAGGCGCCACACUGGAACGGAUCCGACGGUCAGGGACGAAGCCUAGGGGCACGAACCGGAUUAGAUACCCGGGUAGUCCUAGGUGUAAACGCUGUGAACUUGGUGUCGGGGAUCCGUCAUGGGUCCCCGGUGCCGGAGUGAAGAUGUUAAGUUCACUGCCUGGGGAGUACGGUCGCAAGGCUGAAACUUAAAGGAAUUGGCGGGGGAGCACUGCAACGGGAGGAGCGUGCGGUUUAAUUGGAUCAACGCCGGA
rnacentral:rRNA from 1 species